UUCCUUUCAAGGAUUUUCCUCAAAAUUCUUGAUCUCAGUGAGAGCACUGAUAAUCUGUGAGUUAUCUGGGCUCUCAAAAUGCAGAAAAGAAUCAAAAAAGAUUUAGAAGAAAACACUGGCCCAUUUUCCUGAGAAAUCAGCCAGCCUGAUUUGUUCACUGGUUAAAGAGUAACAGCAACCGCACUAAACCCCAGAAUGGUCAGUGCAAUUAAUGCAAUUAAAGUAAUUAGUCCUGGCAGCUGUAAGGUCAAAUAGAGGUAACUUUGUAACAACAAUCUGCCACUGCAAAAUUACUGACAUUUCCAACUAAAUUAUAUUCUCUAAAUUGUUGCCUUAAUGCUAAAUAAAUAAAGUUAUGCUAAUGUAGGGACUGAUUACAGAUUGAAAUUAGCACAAUUGCUUGUUAUACAGUCUGCUAGGGUUAACGUUUUUUAAAAACAUAAUUAAUGGCCUUUGCUUACUGUCUCUGGUUAUAGAUCCUGCAGCUCAUUUGCAUUCUUUUGCAAUAUGCUGACAGUGCUAAAUGUCUCAGAAGAAAGAUCUCAUCUGGAGGCGGAAAAUGCGUUUUGCACGUCAUCCAGCUAACACUUGUUAUGGUUCCAGGCCAGCGUUAAUAACAAAGAUGACCAGAAAGAGAAUGGAUCAGAAUGAAGCUGGAAUCCGUUUUUGCCCUUCAGUCUCGUGAUCCAAGCCUUUUCUGGAGUCAAUGUGAAAUGUAAUUGCUCUUUUGACCUCUAUCUUCUCUCUCCCCAGGUCUGAGGAAGAGCUACACUGGUUGAUUAUUGCAGGAAUGAAAGGCACUCUGACCUUGUCGACCGAACGCCUUGCAGCUUUCAAUGUUGCCCAUUAUACCGCAAGCAGGCAACUCCUGGAGAGCUGCUCCCUGGGCAACCUGCCAGAAAAGGCUCCGGCGGCAGCAGUUCAGACGCGGCCAAACAGCUCAGGCAGCAAAGGAAACAGCUUCCCCAGAGGAAUCCUGCCCAGCAGCCUGAGAGCAGGACCAGCGCCAUUCUUCAGCUUCAACCUCAUGUGCCUGCCUGGAGGUGUCUUUAAAAGAAUGGAGAAAGGCUUCUGGAAAAGGUAUUUCAUUUUCUAGAGGCUGAAAAAAAAGUGGGUCAGAGGUUUUUUCCAAAUUUAGGGCAAACCUAGUUCUUGGUUAAGUACUUUAAGAGACAUUGCUCUAUUUAUUUAUUUAUUUCAUUUUUUAUUUUAUUUUUAUUUUUAUGGAUGCACCCACAGCCUAUGGACGUUUCUGGGCUAGGGGUUGAAUUGGAAAUGCAGUUGCAGGCCUACACCACAGCUGUGGCAACACUGGAUCUGAGCCACAUCUGUGACCUUCAUGGCUACUUGUGGCAACGCUGGAUCCUUAACUCAAUUCGCAAGGCCAGAGAUCAAACCCACAUUCUCACAGAGACAAUGUCAGGUCCUUAACCCACUGAGCCACAAUGGGAACUCCACAUUAAUCAAACAAGCAAACCACAUUGCCACAUAAUCCAGUUCCUCUGAGAGAACUGUCUCCCUAAGUUUGGAUCAUUGCCCAGUGUGUCAUCAGGCAUUCUUCAAUCACAUAUAGCCCAACUUUGCCAAUGGCUCUGCUGGGACACUUGGGGGGAAUUAGUGCACAUACUGGCACUGGAAUAGAUAGUGCAGUUAGCAAACUUGGGCUGGCAUCUCAGCUCCAAUGCUUUCCUUCUGUGAGAUUCUGAACAAUUCGCUGAACCUCCCUCUAGCAGACAUUUAUUUAGCGCUGUGUAACAAAGUAGUCCAAAACUUAGUAGGCUAUACACAAUUUUUUUUUUUUUUUGCUUAUUAUUGUAUGGUCAGCAAUAAUUUGGACUAGGCUGCCCUGGGCAGUUCUUCUGGUUUCUCCUGGGAUUACCCAUUCAGACAAGUCUGACAGCGGCUCAAAAGGAACUCCCUAGUCUAAGAUGGUCUCAUUUACAUGUCCAAAUAGGGCACCAUAUCCCACCUAAGCUGAUAAUCUCUGCUCUAUAGAAACUCUUUCUCACAUGCAGAAGGGAACAUGUACAAGAGUAUUUGUGUCAGCAUUGUUUACAAUAGUAAAACUGGGGAAUAAAUCAACUAAUUAACAAUAAAAAAAAAAAUAG
rnacentral:lncRNA from 1 species